rnacentral:rRNA from 1 species
CAGGACGAACGCUGCGGCGUGCUUCAUACAUGCAAGUCGAACGAUAAGGUCUCUUCGGAGACACAUAAGUGGCGGACGGGUGAGUAAAAUAGUAGAGAAUCUGCCCUAGAGUGGGGGACAACAGUUGGAACGACUGCUAAUACCGCAUAUGAGCGUACCUGCAAUGGUAUUCUUGAAAACUCCGGUGCUCUGGGAUGAGUCUGCAUCUGAUUAGCUAGUUGGCGGUGUAAUGGACCACCAAGGCGACGAUCAGUAGCUGGUUUGAGAGGAUGAUCAGCCACAAUGGGACUGAGACACGGCCCAUACUCCUACGGGAGGCAGCAGUAGGGAAUUUUGCGCAAUGGGCGAAAGCCUGACGCAAGCAACGCCGCGUGAUUGAAUAAGCCCUUCGGGGUGUAAAGAUCUGUCAGUAGGGACGAAACUUGACGGUACCUACAGAGGAAGCAUCGGCUAACUCCGUGCCAGCCGCAGC